UAUAAGGAUUUUAUCAUAAUACAAUAUAUGAGGGAUUUUAUUUAUCACCCUCAAAAGUUUUGAAAAUAUUUUCAGUGAAAUAGAAAAAAAAUGAUACUUGUUUUUACCAAAAUUCAUGUCUACAAAAUUCUUUUCUACCUCCUUUCUUUUAAAAAGGGAAUUCAUUAUUUACUUUUAACGAAUUUUCUGAAAAUUGAGAGAAAAGCUAUAUAUUCUAUUUUUUCCACCAAAGUGCUCAUCACAAGGCAUUCGCUACUUUCAGCUUUGUAAAUUAUUUUUUGUCAGUUGCCCAUUAUGGGUUCAUGACAUUUAAAUAUAAACUAAAGCAGAAACAAGAACAUGUUGAUUAUAACCUGUUAUUUUCAUUGUGUUACAUUUUAUUCAUACAUUGUGUUUAUAAAGUUAAUCCGUGUUUAAACUGUUCUAAGCAUUUUCUGACAUCUGAAUUUUUAAAUAAUUAUUUCAUUUUUGAGGAAAAGAAAUGAAGAAUGGGAUUUACUUAAAGUAAAAGAAAUUUUUAGAUACUUUUGGAUCGUAAAUACAUAAAUGCAUAUUUAUCAUGUUUAUGUUAAAUGUUUUACUUUACUUGAGAAUAAGUAAUAUGAAGAAUUUUUGUAGAGCGCACUGGCAAUUAUACAUAAGAUUUUCUUAAUUUUCCUUUACACUUUGAUUUCAAAAAGUAGGUUAAGGAAUAUUUGAACUCUGUAAAUAUGUUUAUGUCAUUAAUACUCUUCCCAAUCCUUAAUUUCCGGCCCAAGGGAUAAUCCCAUAACAAAAGCCAAAGUUGUUUUGAAGGUUGAUGUGUUAUGUACACACGCAUGCGUACUGAAGCUUUCUUUUUUUUCGUAUUCCAGUUGAAUGACGAAUUCGAAGACCUCUGAUUAUAAUUAUUUAAAGCUGUUUUUGCUGAAUGUAUAUCAUAAAUACAUGCUUUACCCGUGAAAAUUGGUGCCCCUUCCUAAAAAUUCAUUUUUUUUUCUGUGUAAAUAGUAUAUAUACUAGUAAUUAUGUAAUUAUUAAAGAAAUGUAAUUUUUGUCCUAAUUGUGGCAAUGUUUCGUUAAUUUGUAUCGUAUUUGCUCAUCAUGCUCAUUGUUAAAAAUAAAUUAUUUGUUACCCUCUA